rnacentral:rRNA from 1 species
GAUGAACGCUGGCGGCGUGCCUAAUACAUGCAAGUCGAGCGAACAGACGAGGAGCUUGCUCCUCUGACGUUAGCGGCGGACGGGUGAGUAACACGUGGAUAACCUACCUAUAAGACUGGGAUAACUUCGGGAAACCGGAGCUAAUACCGGAUAAUAUAUUGAACCGCAUGGUUCAAUAGUGAAAGACGGUUUUGCUGUCACUUAUAGAUGGAUCCGCGCCGCAUUAGCUAGUUGGUAAGGUAACGGCUUACCAAGGCGACGAUGCGUAGCCGACCUGAGAGGGUGAUCGGCCACACUGGAACUGAGACACGGUCCAGACUCCUACGGGAGGCAGCAGUAGGGAAUCUUCCGCAAUGGGCGAAAGCCUGACGGAGCAACGCCGCGUGAGUGAUGAAGGUCUUCGGAUCGUAAAACUCUGUUAUUAGGGAAGAACAAAUGUGUAAGUAACUAUGCACGUCUUGACGGCACCUAAUCAGAAAGCCACGGCUAACUACGUG